UACGGGGGGAGCAAGCGUUGUUCGGAUUUACUGGGCGUAAAGGGCGCGUAGGCGGUCGUGACAAGUCACUUGUGAAAUCUCCGGGCUUAACUCGGAACGGUCAAGUGAUACUGUCGGACUAGAGUACAGAAGGGGCAACUGGAAUUCUCGGUGUAGCGGUGAAAUGCGUAGAUAUCGAGAGGAACACCUGCGGCGAAGGCGGGUUGCUGGGCUGAUACUGACGCUGAGGCGCGAAAGCUGGGGGAGCGAACGGG
rnacentral:rRNA from 1 species